GAAGAGAACCAUUCUGGCAACAGCAUGUUGCCAGACAAUUGCCAGACAUUUCCAACAAUGGAAGUGGAAACCUAAUACAAGAGUGUAGGCAGCUACCAACUUGCCCAUCCUUUUGUGUUGUUGUGCAGGUCCAUCACCAAAACAGGUUUCUUAGAGAAACUUCUACUGGUUUAUCAAACUAUAUCUGAGUGGAUUCUACCCUUCCUGGUGGAUGAAUACUUUGCAUGAAGUCUCGUGCAAGUUUGGAAUAUAAGAUGACAAGGCAAAAGUGCAAGAAUGUUGUUGGUUUCAAGUGAAAUGUUUCAUGCUUCAAGAGAUCUCAAGGAGAAGCACCGCCAGUGAUCAAAGGAGGAGAAUAUGUCAACUUUUGUUAGAGCCCAAACCCUGCAAUGAACUGCAGACUGAACAGAGUGGUCAGACCUUUAUCUUGAUGGAAGCAAAGUUACUGAGACUGUGACUUAGUGAGUGACCACGACCUGCUGUAACACAUGUACUCAGACCAGCCAGAUGUCAGGUGAAAAGGACUAAUCUCUACAGACAACGUGUUUUUUCAAGUCUUCCAGAGGCUAAAGGGUCCUUGUCUUCAUGGUUUUUCCUUGCAGAGAAGCUAUUCUGUACUUUUGAUCAUCUUUGUUGCUCUUCUCAGCACCUUUCUGCUUCUGCUACAGCCUUUGUGAGCCCUGUGCUGGGGUGCUGAAAACACACAGUGCUGAUGAUGUGGAUGCACUGAGCUGCGUAGGUGUAGAUCUCAUUUGCAAGUGGUAAUGAGAUGCCACCCCUCCUCAUCUCCUGAGAAUCCCGUGGAAGAGGGCUCCCAUGGUGGGCACCUUGGCAAGUAAGCUCUGCAGGCUGCCUGUGCUUUCAGUAUCACAGGAUCCCAAAGGAAGCCCCAGUUUGAAUAAAGCCAGAGAUGUGCCUUGCACCUCCUUGUCCACGGGGCAGCUGAGGAGGGGCAGAUGUCCCCCAGGGCCCCGUGGUCAGGCCUGGCAGCACGUGCACAGCAGCUCACGGGUGCCCAGCGUGCCAGACCAUCCGGCUCUCCAGAUGUUCCCUCCU